rnacentral:tRNA from 1 species
UAGGGAGGUAGUUCAAAGGUAGAGCUUUGGUCUCCAAAACCAAAAGUUGAGGGUUCAAAUCCUUCUCUCCCUGUC